rnacentral:rRNA from 1 species
AUGCUUGUUUUGCUCAUACUUGCCAUGCUAGGGAUGGCUGAAGCACGAGCAUCGGCAGUUGUGAGAAGCUUUGAUGGGAGCACCACCCAGCCUCUGAACCGCCUGAUCCGUCGGUUGGACGCCGGCAUGGGUUCUUCAAAUUUGACUCUCAGCUGUGCCAAUAGAUGCGGUCACUUGACCUUCAGCUACCCAUUCGGCAUAGGAGCUGGUUGCUUUAGGAAUCCUGAAUUCAGUCUCAUUUGCAACCACACCACCAAUCCCCCUAAACUCUUCUUGCACGAUGGUAGUAGUACAAGUACAACCCAGGUUGUGGGCGAUAUUUACCCCAGUGGCAUGUCAGUCAACUUCUGGGGCAAGCACUUGCAGUUCAGCUCUUUUUUUGUCAACUUCUCCAAAACCAUCCCCAUGAAAUCUGGUCUCGAUGCCUACAACAUGUCAUGGACUCCAGGGAAAACUUUUAGCCUUCUCAGUACAAUGUCCCUUUCUGUCAUUGCUUGCGACUUGGAUGUGUACUUGGUGCAUAAAGACCUUGGUAACCGUGAGUUGAUUUGCAAGGUAUCCUGCCCCAGCAUAGAAAUUGCGGAGCAAGUUUAUAGGCAGGACCGACAUGGCCCUGGGUCGUGUUCUUUUACAUAUUCUGCAUUAACAGUCCGCACCCUCGAGUUUCAAUUUGUUCCCCACAAGACAAGUAAGAUAAAAACACAAUCUAGACUCAACAUCUUGUGGGAUACAAUCGACAUAACUAUUAAUAUCUUAAUCAUAUGGAGUAUCCUCGACCAAACGAGCUGCUCCAGGAGCAUGGAGGAUAGCAACUAUGCAUGUGUCAGCCACCACAGCGAAUGCACGGUUCCUCUUGCCGAUAAAGGUUAUAUCUGCCGGUGCAUCAGUGGUUAUGAAGGCAAUCCAUAUAUCUCCGGUGGCUGCUCAGCUGUCCAUGAGUAUAAUUCAAGACCACUUAAGGUGAAUUGUUCUCGACGGUGUGGAAAUAUAAGUGUCCCAUUUCCUUUUGGCAUAGAAGAAGGUUGUUCUGCGAGGAAAACUUUUAAGCUCAACUGCUCAGAUACUACACCGCCCGUUCUCUGGCAUAAUAAUGGCUUCGUUGAAGUGACAUACAUAAAUGUCAAUGAGGGGCUCCUGGGAAUCAAAUAUGAGUUGAGUGUUGGAGACGAGUCAUUUAACAUUAUGCUACAAUCUUCAGAAGCUGAUGAACCGAACCUGUAUGUCAAUCCUCUGGAAUCAGCCUCUGUGCAGUGGGCUGUCGCUAAUCUUACAUGCCAAGAGGCGGAAAAAAACACCUCUGGAUAUGCGUGCGUUAGUGUCCAUAGCUUCUGCCUGGGUGUCAUCAGCUCCAUGGAAGGUUAUGUUGGAUACAGGUGUGCAUGCUUGCGCGGUUUUGAAGGAAAUCCAUACAUCCCAGAUGGUUGUGAAGAUAUUGAUGAGUGCAAACGGACACCAGGACUUUGCAAAGGGAAUUGCCGGAACACUAUCGGAAACUACACCUGCACCAAGUGCCCUGAUCAUACAGAGUAUGAUAUAACAAAAAUGCAGUGCACUCCAGUAAGAAAGCAAAAUUUCUACUUAGGUAUUGUGAUUGGGUUAAGCAGUGGCCUUGGCAUGCUACUUUUCGGCUUAACUACGAUAUUUCUCGUUCAAAGAUGGAAAAGAGACGUCCAGAAGAAACUAAGAAGGAAGUAUUUCCGAAGGAACAAUGGCCUUCUCUUGGAACAAUUGAUAUCAGGGGAUGAAAAUGCGAGCGAGAGGAAAAAUAUUUUCUCCUUUGAAGAGCUUAAAAGGGCAACAAAUAACUUUGAUCCUGCACGUAUCCUUGGACGUGGAGGGCAUGGCACAGUCUACAAAGGGAUCUUAUCAAACCAGCAUGUGAUUGAGAUCAGCGAUUUUAUCAAUGAGGUUGCAAUUCUCUCUCAGAUAAAUCACCGGAAUAUCGUGAAACUUUUCGGGUGCUGUCUUGAAACUGAGGUCCCCUUACUAGUGUACGACUUCAUUCCCAAUGGUUCAUUGUUUGAAAGUCUUCAUCAUGAUUCUAGCAACAUGGUUUCUUUGACCUGGAAUGACUGCCUACGGAUCGCAUCAGAAGCUGCGGGUGCUCUAUGUUAUCUCCACUCUGCAGCCUCAAUAUCAAUCUUCCAUCGUGAUGUGAAGUCCUCUAAUAUACUCCUAGACACAAACAAUGCAGCAAAGGUUUCGGAUUUCGGUGCUUCAAGAAUUGUCCCCAUUGAUCAAACUCAUGUUGCUACAAAUGUUCAGGGCACAUUCGGUUAUUUUGAUCCAGAAUACUACCAGACUGGGCAGCUAAAUGAGAAGAGUGAUGUUUACAGUUUUGGUGUGGUACUCCUAGAACUUCUUAUCAGGAAAAAACCUGUUUUUACAGCUGAGUCGGGAAUGGACGAGAGCUUGUGUAACUACUUCCUCUUGGAGAUCAGGUCGAGGCAACCCAAAGAAAUAGUGGCGGCACAAGUUCUUGAAGAAGCGAGCGAGGAGGAGAUCAACGGGGUUGCUUCUCUUGCGGAAAAGUGCUUGAGGCUAAAAGGUGAGGAAAGGCCUACAAUGAAGGAAGUCGAGACAACAUUGCAGCAACUACGAAUGAAUCGUACAAAUUCAUCUCAAGUUUAUCCAGCCGUUGAGUAUGAGAUGCAAGGCCACCAGUCCAUGGCCAUGAACCUAGCCGGGAGAACUUACAAUGUAACAUCUCAGCGCAGCCAAAACGCAUGCUAUAGCUUGGAGCAGGAGUUCCUCGCAUCCGCUAGCCUGCCCCGCUAG